CCCAGACUCCUACGGGAGGCAGCAGUGGGGGAUAUUGCACAAUGGGGGAAACCCUGAUGCAGCGACGCCGCGUGGGUGAAGAAGUAUUUCGGUAUGUAAAGCCCUAUCAGCAGGGAAGAAAGAAGACGGUACCUGACUAAGAAGCCCCGGCUAACUACGUGCCAGCAGCCGCGGUAAUACGUAGGGGGCGAGCGUUAUCCGGAUUCACUGGGUGUAAAGGGAGCGUAGACGGCCGUGCAAGCCAGGAGUGAAAGCCCGGGGCCCAACCCCGGGACUGCUCUUGGAACUGUGCGGCUGGAGUGCGGGAGGGGCAGGCGGAAUUCCUGGUGUAGCGGUGAAAUGCGUAGAUAUCAGGAGGAACACCGGCGGCGAAGGCGGCCUGCUGGACCGCGACUGACGUUGAGGCUCGAAAGCGUGGGGAGCGAACAGGAUUAGAUACCCUGGUAACC
rnacentral:rRNA from 1 species